UGGAUCCUUUGUUUGAUUUGGAUGG
rnacentral:piRNA from 1 species